CAGCCGCCGCGGGAAUACGAAGGGUGCAAGCGUUAACCGGAAUUACUGGGCGUAAAGCGUGCGUAGGCGGUGAGUUAAGUCUGCUGUGAAAUCCCCGGGCUCAACCUGGGAAUGGCAGUGGAUACUGGCUCGCUAGAGUGUGUCAGAGGAUGGUGGAAUUCCCGGUGUAGCGGUGAAAUGCGUAGAGAUCGGGAGGAACAUCAGUGGCGAAGGCGGCCAUCUGGGACAACACUGACGCUGAGGCACGAAAGCGUGGGGAGCAAACAGGAUUAGAUACCCCCGUAGUCCCUGUCUCUUAUAC
rnacentral:rRNA from 1 species